UACGGAAGGUUCUGGUGUUAUCCGGAUUUAUUGGGUUUAAAGGGAGCGCAGGCUGUCAGAUAAGCGUGUUGUGAAAUGCGGUUGCUCAACAUCCGCACUGCAGCGCGAACUGUUUGACUUGAGUACGCACGACGUUGGUGGAAUUUGCCGUGUAGCGGUGAAAUGCUUAGAUAUGGCGAAGAACUCCGAUUGCGAAGGCAGCUGACGGGAGCGCUACUGACGCUCAUGCUCGAAAGUGCGGGUAUCGAACAGG
rnacentral:rRNA from 1 species